GUGCCUUCACGCUUUGGCUCUACAUAUACUAAAAUUGGAAUGAUACUGAAAAGAUUAGCAUAGCCUUGUGCAAGGAUAACAUACAGAUUCAUGAAGUGUACCAUAUUUCU
rfam:Octopus bimaculoides Scaffold15376_contig_64, whole genome shotgun sequence.